UGGGGAAUAUUGCGCAAUGGGCGAAAGCCUGACGCAGCGACGCCGCGUGUGGGAUGACGGCCUUCGGGUUGUAAACCACUGUCGGGAGGGACGAAGAUCUGACGGUACCUCCAAAGGAAGCACCGGCUAACUCUGUGCCAGCAGCCGCGGUAAUACAGAGGGUGCGAGCGUUGUCCGGAAUCACUGGGCGUAAAGGGCGCGUAGGCGGCCCGAUAAGUAGGGGGUGAAAUCUUGCGGCUCAACCGCAAGGCUGCCUUCUAAACUGUCGGGCUGGAGCACGGUAGAGGCAGAUGGAAUUCCCGGUGUAGCGGUGGAAUGCGUAGAGAUCGGGAAGAACACCAGUGGCGAAGGCGGUCUGCUGGGCCGUUGCUGACGCUGAGGCGCGACAGCGUGGGGAGCAAACAGG
rnacentral:rRNA from 1 species